rnacentral:ncRNA from 1 species
ACGGCAGCCUGGUGAGGCCAAGGUCGAUCCGGAAGAGAAGGUUCGAUCUCCCAACCCGGGCACCCAGCACGGUUCCCGGCACCCACGCGGAGUCAUAGCCACUGAUAUGGCAGAAGUGUUGCGGGCCUGCGUAAUUGCGAAGAACGGAUUGCCCCGACGGCCCUUUGGGUGGGGUCGCAGCAGGAAGUGUCGCAAACGCGCCGAGGCCACCCACGCAGCCCAGAAAUGCACGCUUGGUAACCGAGAACCGUGUUGGCGGGCGGCGAUUCGAUAAUUUCGGAUCGCCGCCCGCUUUGCAUU